UUGUCCAACUUCUACAGUGUAUUUUAAUGGAAGAGAAUCUAGGUGUAAAGGAUAGAUGAGGAAAGCAAAAUCCAAACACUUUACUCGAUAUUUAAUUUUGAUGUUUCAUUUCAUCUUCAGAUAUCCCAAAACGCUCCUUUUCCUUCUCUUUCCGUCUUAAAUUUGAACCAAAUUUAACCACUUUCACUGUAUUUGGUCCUCAUUUCUAUGGUUUUUUGUGUCUAAUCCUUCUUGGUUUCGCUGUUUUUCAUCCAAAUUGAAUUCAGUUCUAAAUUCAUGGUUUUGGAGAUUUGAUGGGAUUGCUUGUAAAGGUAAUACAAAUAAUGCUCCAAACGUCCGACUGUGUCAUCUUUAUUUAUUAACUCUGGUUUUGAUCCUUGAGAGAGAGAAAAACAGAAAGAGAGAAAGAGAUUAUAGUAUAUAAAUCAAAGGCUGGUUGAAGAGUGGAGUCUGCAGGUGCAGAAGAUGAAGAGAUGGCGAUUAUGGGGUUGUUUCAAACGCUCAUUUCUCUUCCCCACUAAGCUGUUUUUUCUCAAACUGAACUCAGGGCUUCUCCCUAAGCCUAAAGGCAACAGGAAUGGGCUACUGAGUCUCUAUAAGGACAUAGAGUCUUGUGGAGAGUACAGAGAUAUCCAAGUAAUGUGGGAUAUGAUUCAGUCCUGUCCUUCCCAUAGUGUCCAUGCAAACACAAGUAGCAGCUUCAGAUUGGGUUUUUCUUCAACUUGGAGAUCAUUCUGUUUCCAAUCAACUUGAAAACAGAACCUGCUUUCGUCUUCUUUUCUGCACAGCACCACAGAAUGUUCAUAUAUAUAAUAAUAAUAUAAGAAAAAGAAUCACUUUUGGAAUGUGGAAGUUUUCACUCAAGAUCACAAAGCUUGUCUUUGAUUGAUGUGUUUCCUUUCCUAUGUUUCACUUUCAUCAGAUGAUAAGAAGAGCUUUGGAUCGAUACCCUUUUUUCAAUUUUCCAUCAGCAUUUGCAGCAACCUUCCUGAUGUUGUUCAUGAUCUGCAAGAAAAGUUUGGUUCUUGUUUGGUUUUUACUCAUCAGUUGAAGAUGACAACUGUCUGGGUUUUGGUCUGUUUCUUGUGUUGAUAGUCUGAUUUUUUUUUUUUUUUUUUUUUUUGAAAAAAUUGGUCCUUGUUUUUGAGCCAUUCAUUUGCAGAUACGACAUUGGACAAGAAUGUAACGCCAAAAGCAUAUUUUGGGAGGAAACUAUUAGCUAUUGAACUUAUUUACGAAUCAAAAUUUAAUGAUUGAUAUACGAGUGCAUGAAUCUACCAAUUAUGUAUCUAUCUA